GGUUAAGUCAGGCAACGAGCAAGACCCGUGCCCACAGUUGCCAGCAUACCCUCCGGGGUGAUGGGCACACUGUGGGGACCGCCGCUGCUAAAGCGGAGGAAGGCGCGGGCUACGGUAGGUCAGUAUGCCCCGAAUAUCCCGGGCUACACGCGAGCUACAAUGGUUGGGACAAUGGGCACCUACACCGAGAGGUGAUGGUAAUCUCCUAAACCCAGCCUUAGUUCGGAUUGAGGGCUGCAACUCGCCCUCAUGAAGCCGGAAUCCGUAGUAAUCGCGUAUCAAUAUCACGCGGUGAAUACGUCCCUGCUCCUUGCACA
rnacentral:rRNA from 1 species